rnacentral:rRNA from 1 species
UACGUAGGUGGCGAGCGUUGUCCGGAUUUAUUGGGUUUAAAGGGUGCGUAGGCGGUUCCAUAAGUCAGUGGUGAAAUACGGCAGCUCAACUGUCGAGGUGCCAUUGAUACUGCGGAACUUGAGUGUUGAUGAGGCAGGCGGAAUUGACGGUGUAGCGGUGAAAUGCUUAGAUAUCGUCAAGAACACCGAUAGCGAAGGCAGCCUGCCAAGCAACAACUGACGCUGAGGCACGAAAGUGCGGGGAUCAAACAGG